rnacentral:rRNA from 1 species
GAUGAACGCUGGCGGCGUGCCUAAUACAUGCAAGUCGAGCGAACAGACGAGGAGCUUGCUCCUCUGACGUUAGCGGCGGACGGGUGAGUAACACGUGGAUAACCUACCUUUAAGACUGGGAUAACUUCGGGAAACCGGAGCUAAUACCGGAUAAUAUAUUGAACCGCAUGGUUCAAUAGUGAAAGACGGUUUUGCUGUCACUUAUAGAUGGAUCCGCGCCGCAUUAGCUAGUUGGUAAGGUAACGGCUUACCAAGGCAACGAUGCGUAGCCGACCUGAGAGGGUGAUCGGCCACACUGGAGCUGAGACACGGUCCAGACUCCUACGGGAGGCAGCAGUAGGGAAUCUUCCGCAAUGGGCGAAAGCCUGACGGAGCAACGCCGCGUGAGUGAUGAAGGUCUUCGGAUCGUAAAACUCUGUUAUUAGGGAAAAACAAAUGUGUAAGUAACUAUGCACGUCUUGACGGUACCUAAUCAGAAAGCCCCGGCUAACUACGUG